GCUAACGAUGCGGGUUAUAACGAAGUUGCAGCUCUGAAUAACAUUAUCAUACUCUAUCCGAGAACAUCAGUGAAUCUUAUUACAAAUCCUCAGGGUUGCUGGGACUGGUGGGGAUUCACCAGCGAGUAUUAUGCAACAGCCAAUGGCGAGCAGAUCAAAGCAGUCAUGAGGAUGUUGGAUAGAAUAGUUUCGUAAACAAAAGAUGAAAUAUUCAUUUCCUAGGAAUGAACUGCUUGUACUUUAAUUUACUAAUUGAGGCAAUAAAC